ACAACUCCAUUUCCUGUCCUACCUCCAUCCGAGGAAAGUUUCUCUGUCUCUUAGCGCAUCACACAAAAAAUAAAGGUAGACGCAUUUUCAUUACCUGCAGAUUGUGUAUUGAGAAUGGUUUCACGUGUAUGAAACUAUCUUCUGCAGACCCUAGGUGGAAAGGGCACCUAAAGUAACCUAUCCUACGUGUGGAUUACUUUGGCCCAGAAUUAAAGUUUUAAUGAAUGAGCUGGGAGACAGCCUACACAGGCCCAUUACGUUUUGAGGUGACUCAUUUGAGAAAUUUUCUCCUGUAGACACCAGUACACUUCAUCCCAGGAGGGAAAAAUCUUCAUCCGCGCUCAGCAAAGAACCCGUCUCUGUGUUACAGUACCAAGAGCUAAAGCAAGAAGGGGAGAAAAAGGAGCUGGGGAUAACCUAAAAAUGCAUCUUCAAGGGACAUUGGCCUCCGAGACGGUGUCUUCUGUUAGCAAAGAUGAAGCCGGAAACAGUCUUUUUCCUGUAAACUGAGUGAAGCCCAGAAAACUCAGCUUUGUGUGAUCAGACAUCUGGAAUCUGGAAUGCCGUCUGCUGUCUUCCACAGACCCAGCAGGGAAGAGAAGGAAACUCCUCGACCAAAGAGAGGUUCAACGUUUGCUGGAACGGCUCCCGGAACUCUGGAAAACACUUUACUUAGGUUUUACCAGCGUUCAUGGAACAAGGAGGCCAUUACACCGAAUUGGCUCUAAAGCCUUGGUGGCUUUAGUUUCUGGUGACCAGGAUGAGACUUGCUGGGAUACCGCACUCACUCUGGAGGCUGAAGGCAGCAUCCUUGGAAAACUGGCAGAAGACAGCAAAGGGUCUCCUCCGCGAGCCAGAGAGCCGCCUGUAUUUCCCUCUCCCCCACCUGUGCCUGCGUCUGAUAGACCCUGUCGUGCUGAACUGAACGGAUCCCUCUGCGUUUGACUCACCAGUGGAGUCGGGGUCUUCUCUACAUCCAGAAUUAACUUGCCGAUGUUUCCUCGGUCGUGGAUCCGCUGCAUGGCCUCCUUCACCUGAGCCAGGAGAAAAACGGAAGCGCUGAUUGGGUGAGAAGUUGCCCGGGUGGAAAAGCCAAACCAGCCGCCGCCCACGUGGGGGCGCUGUGGUUCAAGGUUAGCAGCCAAGCCAGAGAUGCUUUGGGACCCUGGGUGGAAAUAAAUUCUGAUUGUGUCACUCAGGCACUCUGAGCUUGUGCAAGCAACUUGGUCCUCUGGGUCUAAGAAAUGAAAGUGACAGUCCUUGUAAUAA